GCGUCCAUGGUCUGCAGGCAGCUGGGCUGCGGCCGGGCCGUGGGCGCCCCCAAGUACGUCCCGCUGCCCGGAGAGGCGGUGCAGCCCUGGCUCCACAACGUGUCCUGCCGGGGAGACGAAGCCUCCCUCUGGGGGUGCGGCCUGGGGGCCUGGACGAAGAGCAAGUGCCCCUAUGAGUGGGUGGUGGUGGCUCUAUGUUCCAGUAAGUCAUGGGUCGGGGUGUGGGGGAGGAGGGGCCCAGAGCAUCUGAGACAGGCCGGCUCGCAGCUCUCCCUGCCUCCUGUGUCAGCAGUCCCAGUGAUUUGCUUAACAAACCCCUUUACAAGGCAGCGGCAGUGUUCUGGGUGCUGGGGAGGCAGCCACGAGUAAACUGUACGAAAUUGGCUGCGCAGAGCCUGCUGUCCAGGGAGAGGCCGAGAGGGAACGCAAGGGCAGGUAGAAGAGCAGUGAGGGGGCGGAUGCGCAGGCAGGGGUGGGGGCGACACGCGAGGGGGCCCCACGGACCGUGCAGGCGUCUUGUCACCUUCGCCAGCUCAAACGUUCUCCCUGGAGGUCUGUGUGGAGGGUCUGGGGCUGUGUCCGGCCCUUCACGUCCUGUCUGAGUUGACCCACAGGGUGGUUUGUGGGGCCCAGAGCAAAGCGAGAACACAGGCUUCUGUGUUGCAAAAUCAACGAGGGUGUCCAGAGAUCGUUGAGCCAGGAGGGCCUCUGAGCGGCUCUGCGCUGGCCCCUCAGUGAGGCCCAGGGCUGGCCUGCCCCGGGCAGGGCCCUACUGGGGGUGGCUGUCGCCGAGGCCGGAGGUUGCGCGGCCAGCAGGUACUGCACGCCACGCCCUGUGUGCUUUGCAGACGGCACUUUCCGGGAGGUACGGCUGGUGAAGGGCCGGAGCCCCUGCGCAGGGCUCCCUGAGAUCAGGAAUGUGAACGGGGUGGACCGCCUCUGUGGCCUGCACCGGGAGGAGGCCACGGUGUUCUGCCAGGAGCUGGGGUGAGGCCCUGCCCUGCAGGUCCCCCGCCAAGAUGGCAGUGUCACCAGGAAGUACAUGACCUGUAGGGGCGACGAGCUGACCAUCCGGAACUGCAGACUGAACAAGUUCCGCAGCGGCUGCGACUUCCAGCGAGAUGCCCAGGUGGUCUGCUCAGGGCACACGGAGGCCCGGCUGGCGGGUGGCGGGCACUCCUGUGCUGGGCGCCUGGAGGUGAGGCGUGGCCUGACCUGGGGCACCGUCUGUGACGCUGACCUGGACCUGGCCACUGCCCACGUGGUGUGCCGGGAGCUGCAGUGUGGUGUGGCCGUGUCCACACCCCAGGGCGCCCACUUUGGCCAGGGCUCGGGGCUCGUGUGGACCGAGGCCUUCCGCGGGCAACGAGUCCCUGCUGUUCCACUGCCCUCGAGGGCCGGGGCUCCGGUGUGGGCACGACCAGGAUGCGGGGCUCAGGUGCUCAGGUGAGUUCCGGCUGGUCAACGGCAGCAGUGCCUGUGAGGGGCGCGUGGAGCUCCAGGUCCAGGGGCCCUGGGCGCCCCUCUGCGCCGCCCACUGGGACUUGGCAGACGCCACGGUCCUCUGCCACCAGCUCGACUGUGGGAGCGCGGUGGCCGCACCCCCGGGGGGUCACUUUGGCGGCGGGGCCUCCGCGCUCUGGCGGGACGAGGUGCACUGCGUGGGGACGGAGCCGUACCUGUGGAACUGCGCCCUGAGCGCCCUGGGGGCGCCCGCCUGUGGCCCCGGCGAUGCGGCCGCCGCCGUCUGCUCAGGUCUCCCCACCGCCCUGCGGCUGAGGGACGGACAGAGCCGCUGCGACGGCCGCGUGGAGGUGUCCCUGGACGAGGCCUGGGGCCUGCGCGGCGCGGCCGUCGUGUGCAGGCAGCUGGGCUGCGGAGCAGUGGAGCGAGCCUAGGAGGCGGCGGCGCCCGCGCGCGGGGCGGUGCCGCUGGGGCUGAGCCACGUGCGCUGUGCGGGCACCGAGCCCCGCCUGACGCGGUGCAGCGUGUCGGCGGCCCUGCUGGUGUCCGCGAGGGCGUCGCGGGACGCGGGCGUCGUGUGCUAGGGCAGCUUCCAGGUGCGCCUGGCCGCGGGGCCGGGCCGCUGUGCGGGGCGCGUGGAGCUGCUGCACGCGGGCGAGUGGGGCACCGUGUGUGACGACUCCUGGGACCUGGCGGACGCCGAGGUCGUGUGCCGGCAGCUGGGGUGCGGCCGGGCUGUGGACGCCCUGGCGGGGGCCGCCUUCGGACCAGGCUCAGGGCCUGUGUGGCUGGAUGAGGUGGGGUGCUGGGGCAGCGAGGCCUCGCUGUGGGGCUGCCCGGCGGAGCCAUGGGGCCACGGAGACUGCGGGCACAAGGAGGACGCGGGUGUGCGCUGUGCGGGUGACAGAGAAGCCGUCACCCUACGUUCAGCAUCGGGCAGUCCUCUGGUCCUGGCGCCUGCCCUCGAGGCUGGGACUCUGCCCAUGACCUUCAGCCUGGCCCUCGGCACCCUGCUGGUCGUCAUCUCACUGGUCCUAGGGGCGCAGUGGUUCCGGGGCAGAAGCGCCUGCAGGGGUUCUGGAAUGUCGGGGAGUCUGCCCUCUGAAGGCGUUUAUGAGGACAUUGGAGCUGCUGCUGCGGGGGAGGAGGACGAGGCUGCUGGACCGUCCGCGGCGCCGGAGGAGGAGGAUGACGACGCGGCGGAGCCCGAGCCCGAGGAGGGCGCAGCGGAGGAGGGCGCCCCCCUGAGCGCCGCGGGUGUGCAGCUCUGCGUCGUGGCGUCCGUGGCGCUGUUCCUGCGCUACUGCUGCUGCGCCCCGGGCGCCGCCCCCGCCAGCCCCUACAUCUGAGAGCCGGAGAGCUCC